rnacentral:lncRNA from 1 species
ACUGAGAACCAAUUCUUUGUAAAGUUAUCAUUUUCGGUGAACCCAACACUGACCUUUUCUCCUUUUGGCCCAUUAUUUCCGGUGCUGCCUUUAGGCCCAAAGUCUCCUCGUCUUCCCUAAAAAUACAAUGGUAAAUAUCACCAAAAGUUAACCUACUGUAGUGUUACAAGGGGAAUAUAACAGGAAAAGAAUUCCUCACAGGGUCGCCUUUAGGUCCAGGUCCUCCAGCUGUACCCUAUAAAACAAAACAAAGUCCUCUUUAACAUCAUCUCUAAUUUACAAUGUUAAAAUAACAAUAAUGACCAUAAUUAAAACAAAUACAUACAGCAGAUCCUUUCUGGCCAGGAAUUCCAGGUGUUCCGGAACUUCCUCUCUCUCCCUGUAGGGGGUGUCAGAGAGCAUAUUACAAUAUUAUUGAUAACUAAUGUUAGUGUAAUCUCUGUAGUUAUGAAAUCUUACUUUGGGUCCAGGAUCUCCAGCUGGCCCAAGUGGACCUGGUCUUCCUGGACGACCUGGAUCGCCCUGAGAAUAAAGUACCUUUUCUCCCAGAGCCCCUGCAAGACCAGGUUCUCCAACAUCUCCAGGAUAGCCAUCAGGACCCUGUAAAAGGCACAUUCAUCUGUUAAUGGUAUUGCAUAAUACCAGUAUCUGUUCCCCAAAUGAAAAAGACUCACACCUUGUCGCCGGGGUCACCUUUGCAGCCAGGAGCGCCGAUCCUGCCAAUUUUUCCCUGUUAAAAAAUAGUCAGUUUUAUUAAAUUUUAAUAUUUUUAUUAUUUAUUUGAAUUUCUUGCUAUCCACACUUCACUAGCCCACAUUUACUAUUACUUACCUUCUGCCCAUCUGUUCCAUUUCGGCCCAGUAUUCCUGCAACACCCUGUUAGACAAAUACUUUUUUUUAUAUAUAUAUAAAUAUUUAAAAAUAGAUGCAGCAUGAAAGAUUCUGUAAACAGAGAACAUAUAAAAUGAUAAGCAAACAGUCUUACCUUCCUCCCUUGUGCUCCAAUUUCUCCCUAAAAACAGAUAAUUUGCAUGUAACAUUUUUGGUGCAUUACCAAUAAGUCAACCAUAUUUAUUAGAUCUUACAGAUAACAUUGAUAAAAUCAUACCUUUUCACCUCUGAGACCAGUCUCUCC